rnacentral:lncRNA from 1 species
AUGUAUUUUAAGCUUUGGCAGAAUGUGCACAUUUUCUGUUUACUUCUUGCCAAAAUGCUGCACAUACUGUCAUGAUAGCAUGUGGAAUGCUGCUCUCCCUUUGAAGUAAUUUAUUGUUGUAAAUCAAACCACUGACUCUUAGCUUGCAACAAAGAAGCAAUCACCACAAUUUAUCAGUUCAAGUGCAGUGGUUGGAAUAACUAUCCUGGGAGCUUGUGUGCAUAGCUUAAGAGUUUGAUACUAGAGAAAGCAGACAGCUGAACGAACAAGAGCAGAACCUCAAAGGCUAAAGAGAGAGAGCCCAGACACUACCUCGGAGCAGUUUGAAAAGCUCUCCAACUCACCACCUCAACCUUCUCCAGCAGCUGCGAGCGAGCAAGCUGGAGAAGCAGAGGGAAACAGGUCCGACUGGAAGAACUGACAGAGCUUUACUAACCACCUGGGCAGAACAGAGGUGAGAUGAGCUUCUCAGUCCUCAGAAACUGACUGCUGACACGCUCAGGAGAUGCAAUUGAGAAGAGGACUCCCUCUCUAUUGAGGAAGGCAAAGAGGAGGGACCAGGAAUAAAUGGACCGGUCUGAAAAGCAAAAGGGAGUGGAGUCAGUCUGGCAUCAGUGGGCCGUCGGAUGUCUCUCCAAACAGUGCUGAACUACAUGUGUAUUGGACUAGGUUGCUGAGGUACAUAAUUCCUGGAAGCAGUAGCUCCGUGAGCAUGGACAUAGAAGAA